CGGGGCAGUGGGCAAUUGAGCGAGGAACAGCUGCGGGAGGACUCCGCGGACUCCUGAGAACCAGCUUAGGGGAGCGGCGGCUUGGGGAGGUGUAGGGUGGAAUCACGAGAAAGCUCUGUGGGAGGGCCUGGUGCACAGCUCAGCUGCAGGGUGGAGCUGAGGGAAAGCCGGGCGUUCCUGGAGGAGGAGCAGGGCGAGGCUGUGGCAAAGCGCUGUGGGAGCAGAUGGGGCGGGGCUGCGGGAAAGAGCUGGAGAAGGAGGAGCCAAGCUGCACCAAGGCUGGCGGGUGAGAAUUGCGGGGGAGGAGCUAGUGCAGAGCUGGAGGAAAGAGCUGAAAGGUUGUUGGGGUGGGCAGAGGGGUAGGAGAAGCGAGACGGGGCUAGAGGAGGCGGAGCUGGGAGCGGUGAUGAAGGGGUAGCAGGGCGGGGCAGUGGGAAAGAGCUGUGGGAGGAGGAGCUGGGGGUAAGAAGCUGGGGCUGUGGCUGCAGCGGGGACUGGGUCAGAGCUUCUGGAGGAGCCGCCUGCAAGAGGAGGGCGUAGUUGUGGGAAAGAGCUGUGGGCGGAAAUGGUUAAGUGCCGGGUGGAGCAGGGGCUGGCGUCGGAAUAGCUGGGGCGGAGCUGCGGGAGGAGGAGCUGGGGGGCGGAACUGUGGGAGGAACAGCUGGGGCGGAGCUGAGGGAGGAGGAGCAGGGGGGCAGAACAGCUGGGGUGGAGCUGUGGGCGGAGCUGCAAGAGGAGAAGUUGGGGACGGACUUGCAGGAGGAAAAGCUAGGGGUGGAGCUGUGGGUGGAGUUGGGGGAGGGAGCUGAGGCCCUUCUGUGAUGCACCCUUAGGCAAGAGUCCAAACUUUCCCGCGGCGACCUAACUGCACCUCCAGUGUCUUCCCCCAGAGGGCACAGAAGCAGCAAGAAGGGCGGGAACACUUGACUGGGGUCCAUGCAGCUCUAGGCUGAGUCUUGCAGGGCUGAGCCCCCCAGGCCUGCUCUCCUGUGUCCUGGCCGCUCCGUCAGUGCCUGCCAGUGGGGUCCAGAGGGACCGUUUUUUUAACGCCUCUUUUGCAGGUAAUGAGAAACAUCCCCACUCUUAAUGUCUUGCCUCCUCCGGC
rnacentral:lncRNA from 10 species